rnacentral:rRNA from 1 species
UACGGGGGGGGCAAGCGUUGUUCGGAAUUACUGGGCGUAAAGGGUUCGUAGGUGGCCUACUAAGUCAUACGUGAAAUCCCUCAGCUUAACUGGGGAACUGCGUCUGAGACUGGAAGGCUUGAGUGCAGGAGAGGAACGCGGAAUUCCAGGUGUAGCGGUGAAAUGCGUAGAUAUUGGGAAGAACACCGGUGGCGAAGGCGGCUAUCUGGACCGACAUUGACGCUGAGGCGCGAAAGCGUGGGGAGCAAACAGG